CGAUGAAGCCCAGCUUGCUGGGCGGAUUAGUGGCGAACGGGUGAGUAACACGUGAGCAACCUGCCCCUGACUCUGGGAUAACAGCCGGAAACGGUUGCUAAUACCGGAUACGCAUCAUGGCCGCAUGGUCUGUGGUGGGAAAGAUUUCUCGGUUGGGGAUGGGCUCGCGGCCUAUCAGCUUGUUGGUGAGGUAGUGGCUCACCAAGGCGUCGACGGGUAGCCGGCCUGAGAGGGUGACCGGCCACACUGGGACUGAGACACGGCCCAGACUCCUACGGGAGGCAGCAGUGGGGAAUAUUGCACAAUGGGCGGAAGCCUGAUGCAGCAACGCCGCGUGAGGGACGACGGCCUUCGGGUUGUAAACCUCUUUUAGCAGGGAAGAAGCGAGAGUGACGGUACCUGCAGAAAAAGCGCCGGCUAACUACGUGCCAGCAGCCGCGGUAAUACGUAGGGCGCAAGCGUUAUCCGGAAUUAUUGGGCGUAAAGAGCUCGUAGGCGGUUUGUCGCGUCUGCUGUGAAAUCCCGAGGCUCAACCUCGGGUCUGCAGUGGGUACGGGCAGACUAGAGUGCGGUAGGGGAGAUUGGAAUUCCUGGUGUAGCGGUGGAAUGCGCAGAUAUCAGGAGGAACACCGAUGGCGAAGGCAGAUCUCUGGGCCGUUACUGACGCUGAGGAGCGAAAGGGUGGGGGAGCAAACAGGCUUAGAUACCCUGGUAGUCCACCCCGUAAACGUUGGGAACUAGUUGUGGGGGCCUUUCCACGGUCUCCGUGACGCAGCUAACGCAUUAAGUUCCCCGCCUGGGGAGUAC
rnacentral:rRNA from 1 species